UAACUCCUACGGGAGGCAACAGUGGGGAAUAUUGGACAAUGGGCGCAAGCCUGAUCCAGCCAUGCCGCGUGAGUGAUGAAGGCCCUAGGGUUGUAAAGCUCUUUCACCGGUGAAGAUAAUGACGGUAACCGGAGAAGAAGCCCCGGCUAACUUCGUGCCAGCAGCCGCGGUAAUACGAAGGGGGCUAGCGUUGUUCGGAUUUACUGGGCGUAAAGCGCACGUAGGCGGACUAUUAAGUCAGGGGUGAAAUCCCGGGGCUCAACCCCGGAACUGCCUUUGAUACUGGUAGUCUUGAGUUCGAGAGAGGUGAGUGGAAUUCCGAGUGUAGAGGUGAAAUUCGUAGAUAUUCGGAGGAACACCAGUGGCGAAGGCGGCUCACUGGCUCGAUACUGACGCUGAGGUGCGAAAGCGUGGGGAGCAAACAGGAUUAGAUACCCGGGUAGUCCCAUG
rnacentral:rRNA from 1 species